rnacentral:rRNA from 1 species
AGCAGCCGCGGUAAUUCCAGCUCCAAUAGCGUAUAUUAAAGUUGUUGCAGUUAAAAAGCUCGUAGUUGAAUUUCGGGGUUUAUCCGUUGGUCGGGCUUUUGGGUCUGUACUGGCGUGAUGGAUUCCUACCUUCUGAAUAACCAGCGUGUCAUUAAUUUGGUGCGUUGGGGAAGCAGGACUGUUACCUUGAAAAAAUUAGAGUGCUUAAAGCAGGCUAUUGCCUGAAUACAUUAGCAUGGAAUAAUGAAAUAGGACGCAUGGUUCUAUUUUGUUGGUUUCUAGGAUCACCGUAAUGAUUAAUAGGGAUAGUUGGGGGCAUUAGUAUUCAAUUGUCAGAGGUGAAAUUCUUGGAUUUAUUGAAGACUAACUUCUGCGAAAGCAUUUGCCAAGGAUGUUUUCAUUAAUCAAGAACGAAAGUUAGGGGAUCGAAGACGAUCAGAUACCGUCGUAGUCUUAACCAUAAACUAUGCCGACUAGGGAUCGGACGAUGUUAAUUUUUAAUGACUCGUUCGGCGCCUUA